UACAUAGUAGGGGUCUCACGACCCAUCAUAACAGUCAUUCAAGUUACAAGCCAGCGGAAGUAGAUAAACUGUCUGAGUACAGAGAGAUGAAAUUAAAAGGCACAUGGCCUGACUAUACUACAGACCCACCCUAGGGACAGAUCAUAGUUGGGAUACCAGCUACUCGUCGUCGUCGAUGUCUAGGAAGAACCCUCCAUUAGGGUCAUUAACAACCUCUGCAACAAAUAUUAAGCAAACAUGAGUACGGAGGUACUCUGCAAGACUUUAGGAUAACUAUCUACUCAUGCAAUGUAUCAAUAAGGAAUUGUGGGGUUUCAUGCGGAAAGCCAACAUUUGACUCGUGGCUAGACAACUUGCAAUUUUAAAUAAUUUUGACAACUUGAUUUCUCGCACACGAGUCCACUAACACCAUAACAAUACUCCAUCAUGGAAUCAUUCCGUCUCCAUACGGAAAUGCCGUCCAUGACACUCACGCUUAUCUUGACAAUUUUAUGAGUAGCCAUGGAAGUUAUCUAUGAACAACAUAUGUCUCCAAGUAGUCCAUAUCCGCGGACGCGGCUAUUCGAAUAGAUCAUAACCCUGCAGGGGUGUACUUCUUCACACACGCUCUCGCCACUUAUUGCCAUGUGCACGUCAUGCACCUCGGCAACCUUCAAGCGGAAGCCCAGCGAGGGAGUCGACCACGACCGUUAACCACACUAAUACUUAGUCCAGGUCUAUCGCCUAUCUGAGGGUAACCCGCACGGAAGUCUGGACGAGGUUUUCGCCACGGCCCCAAACGAUGUGCGCAGGGUUCCCAAGCCCACCAUUCGGGUGCCACUUGGUACACCGUGCCACUGCCUACCGCAUCACAGUCCACCUCUCAGGUCAGCGCUAUGCACGGCCUCCAGCAUGACUAUAAACACCAGAAACUACUUGCAACUCCUGGACCGAGUACUAAGCGAUUAAUAAGUCGAGAGGGUCAAUUAAGUAUCCCAACGUGUGGUAGUAUCUUGUCUUGGAUUACAUACACGGAACUCAGUUCCUAAGGACGGUUCCAAUGGAACAACCCACCAUGUACUCCUACAUAGCCUUUCACCGGUACCUUUACCCAAUCAGGUUCAACACACAACCUUUACUUAUUGAACACAUUCUCACAAUUCUGUUCAUCUCCCAGAUGACAGACCAUACACAACUCUAAGCAUAGCAUGCAUAGCAGGAUAAGGCACAUCAUGGCUCAAGCAACUACCAGGUAUGCUAGGUUGCAAGGUUCAGCUAUUUACUGUGACAAAGACAGGUCAUGCAAAGGAAGUGGGUUCAACUAACGUGGCAAAAUCAUUUGAUCCUAAUGCAAUAAGUAAGUGCAGGAGCGAGAACAUGGGAUUUAUCGGGAUGAUCAAAAUGGUUUCUUGCCUUGUUGCUCACAGGAGGGACAAUAUCCGUCAGUCGGAUAUUCAGUGGAAUCCGGAGGAGCGGAGCCUACCGAUAGAAAUGACAUCAAUCAAUAACAAUCAUAUGCAAGAAAAUGAUGCAUGAGCAUGGCAUGAAGAUGCAUAGUGGUAUGCUAAUGUAGCUAUCAUUUAUUUAGUUUCAAGUUCAUUUGAAUCAGGUUCAAAUAUCACUUCAAACGAGGUAUUCUCGAAUACUAUUUUAAUUGAUUCGACCUGAUGCUCAGAUCAACUUGUUUUUAACAUGCAUGGAAAUGAUAUGUUAAGUUGCUGGUUGUGAUUGGUCAAGGUUUGAUCAUAGCAUUUGUAAUGGAAUUCCAAUGAUUUUCAAAUUCCAUCUCCAUAGCAUUUAUAAAAUUUAACUUAUUCAUUAUUCUACAUGUUUGGUCCAGUAACAUUUUCAAACAUGUUUGAAAAUGACAUAUUCAGAUUCCUUGGAUUUUUCUGAUACUUUUUCAUAUAUAAAUUAUUUUCAUUGGAGUUACAGAUUAAUUUCUAUGAUUUUUAGAAGUUUUGGCAUUUUUCUGGAAUUCUUUUAAAUCAGAAAUCCACUUAUUGCGUGAGCAUGGCAUCAGCAGGGCCAACUGGCCGUUGAAAGUCAAACCUGACCAGUGGGACCCACUGGUUAGUGACUUUGGUCAGUUUUAGAUUAGCUUGAAACUUAAUUAGUUAAUUAACAGCACUGGACCCACAUGUCAGUGACUUAUUAGUUUAGUUGAUUUUAUUUUUAUUAAUCCGAAACAUCCAGAGGCUGGCCCCACGCCUCAGUGGCUCAGGCCAGCUGAGAUCCAUCGGUGGCGAGGUCGUCCUAGCCGGCAGUGAGCCUCCGGCGACACCAGAGACGGCGGAGGGCAUCGGAAACUCGUCUCCAACGACCAAACGCACGGCGGGGACCACAGGGAGAUCGUCCACUCGACGGCGCGCAAGAUGGGGCAAACCCCAAGGGCUAGGGUGGCCGAAAUCGACGCCGGCGACGAUCUCGGCGGCGACCAAAGCUUGGCCAUCGUCGAGGUCAUCGGAAACAGGGUCAAAUCACGCGAGGCUAGGCUCCUAAAGCAUCUACGCGACGGCCUGAAGCUGCUGGUGGCCUCAGAUGGACCAACCCUUCACCGGAGGGCUACCAGCGAUGAGCUGCAGCGGCAGUCCUCGUUGGGCUCCGGUGGAACUAGGCCUAGAGGAAGAGAUCGACGGGGAAAACUUGGGGGAAAGCUGCGCAAGCUCACGGGGAGUGCAGUGGUGGUGCUAGCUUUCUCGAGGAGGCACUGUAGGCGACGAAUCGAUCGGAGCUCGCCGGCGGCCGAAGCUUGAAGACGACGGUGUCGUGGGCGUUGCAGGGCUCGGGGGACCUUCAGCUUCUGCAGUAAGGACCAGCUCGUCGAGGCAGAGCGAAUGGGGCACUCGGGGAAGAGAACUAGUGGCCAGAGGCACGGGCAGCUCGAGCUUGAGCUCCUGUCAAUGGCGGCAGUAGGAGACGAAGGAACCGAGAGGAGAGGGGGAAUGGAGCACUGGAAUGGAUAGGCCAGAGCUCGGGGAGGUUAUCCCUAUUGUCGCGCUGUCCUGGGGAGCACCGGAGUGUGCCACGGCGAAGGAGGAGGUGGAGGAGACGCCGUGGGCAUUCGCUCCUCUGCCAGAAGGCAGGAGGAAGAAGACGCCUCUGCCCCUGAUGGGCUGGGCCUCCUCAGGGCGACAGGUAAGCUUCUUUCCAUUUUCUUCUGUUUUGUUUCUGUUUUGCUAACUAUUUGAUUUGUUAUUUAUUUCAGCUCCAAAAUAGUUUACAAAAAAUAUUUUGAACACACCAGAAUAUUUGUUGGAAUAUAUCCAACCAUUCCUGAAGUUUUCAACAUUUUUGAAAACUUAAAGUUUUUUUAAUUCAAAUUUAAACUUGAAUCCAAUAGCUUUUUGCAUUUAAAUAAAAUGCCAAAAGUGUUAUGAAAAUAGUUCUCUUCACUGCUUAUUUGCUUCCAUGAAUUAUCAGAAAAGUUGAACUUUUCUUGAGGCCAUUUUGGGUUCAUUGAUUUGAACAAGUUUAGGAUUUCUUUGAAUUUGAGAAGUGGCUAGGGUUUUUGAGUUUUGCUUCACCACUUGCUUUGAUCUUGUUGAAAUUUUCUUGGAUGCAAUGCAAAGAAUAUAUGAGCACAAUGCUAUACUUGAUUAGGGUUUCAGGUAUGUGACAGAUACCUUACUGUUAAGAGGGAAUCCAUAUUGGAAGUCUAUGGGUGAAUCAAUUCUUCUCACACACUUUUUCAGCCGUCUUGUUCCAUCGCAUCAAUGAAAGAGGCCCCUCCUUUCUAACUCACCGGUUGUACCGCUGCCUAGGGCGGUUAUACCACUCAACCCCUGGGCGGUUGAACCGGC
rnacentral:lncRNA from 1 species